GAAAUGCGAUAAGUAGUGUGAAUUGCAGAUACCGUGAAUCAUCAAAUCUUUGAACGCAUAUUGCACUGUAUGGAAUUCCGUACAGUAUACCUGUUUGAGUAUCAGUAAACACUCUCUACCGUAUCUUGGUAACAAGUGCGGCAGAGGACUUGGGCGCUCAUUCUUGUUACAGAGAGUGUAGCCUAAAAUGUAGUGGCCAGCUCGCUUGCUUCCACUACGGUAGCGACUGUCAGAGUUAAUGGGUACUUGUGCCUGUGGCUGACGCGUUUGCUACCGUAAGGUGCUUGCUGUAACGGCCUAAACUUACCAUACAGCUUCUGGCUGUGACUUUGAUCUCAAAUCAGGCAAGACUACCCGCUGAACUUAA
rnacentral:misc_RNA from 1 species